UAAGUAAUCCAGAAAUGACUUAAAAAUGACC
rnacentral:piRNA from 1 species